rnacentral:misc_RNA from 1 species
GGGCAAUGCAGCCUUGCCUUUCUUAGGCUUAGACGGAGGAAUUAAAACAGCAACAGCCCCUUCUUCACCUUCCUGUUCCACGGCGUCUUCAACCUCAGCUUCAGCUGCCAUAGCAGCAACAACAAGAGGUCCAUUCUUCCUUUCUUUGUACUGGAGGCUUAAUGGGUGCAGAGAAAAAGAUUUGUGGGAUGUGAAAAGAAGAGGCUUUGAUUUGAAAAUUAGGGAAUUGGGGUUGAGUUCUUGUGAGAAAAUAGAGGAAAGAGUGAGAGUAGAAGGCGUUGCUGUGGAAGCCAUUGUUGAAUGAGAC